rnacentral:lncRNA from 1 species
GGAGUAUAUCAUAUUUAUAAUCGGCCGCCCGUCUUGAAUAUCAAGGGGUACAUGACAUUUUACUCCUAGUAAUGUUGAAUAGUAACAUUACAGCGAGAGACAACAUGGGACUUGCUAACACGAAACGACUCGAAGGUGGCGUAUCCCCUAGCAGACCGAAAUUGUCCGGUCCCACCGACCACGGCCACCUCUCUGGGGUUCUCAUACUGAUGAUCAGCUCCUUGUAUCUGCAACGUACUUCCCUUGUACUCCUUCCCGGUGAAAACAAUCGAUAGCAAUAGUGUUAGACUAGUUCCAUCUUGAGCCGAUGUCAGAAACAUACCUUGACCCCUGCCAAUUUCAGCUGUCUUCCUAUC